rnacentral:rRNA from 1 species
AGAGUUGAUCCUGGCUCAGGAUGAACGCUGGCGGCGUGCUUAACACAUGCAAGUCGAACGAACUUUCGGGUUAGUGGCGGACGGGUGAGUAACGCGUGAGAAUCUGCCCUCAGGAGGGGGAUAACGGUUGGAAACGACCGCUAAUACCCCAUAUGCCGAGAGGUGAAAUGAAUUUCGCCUGAGGAUGAGCUCGCGUCUGAUUAGUUAGUUGGUGGGGUAAUGGCCUACCAAGACAUCGAUCAGUAGCUGGUCUGAGAGGAUGAUCAGCCACACUGGGACUGAGACACGGCCCAGACUCCUACGGGAGGCAGCAGUGGGGAAUUUUCCGCAAUGGGCGAAAGCCUGACGGAGCAACGCCGCGUGAGGGAUGAAGGCCUCUGGGCUGUAAACCUCUUUUAUCAAGGAAGAAGAUCUGACGGUACUUGAUGAAUAAGCCACGGCUAAUUCCGUGCCAGCAGCCGCGGUAAUACGGGAGUGGCAAGCGUUAUCCGGAAUUAUUGGGCGUAAAGCGUCCGCAGGCGGUCUGUCAAGUCUGCUGUUAAAGCGUGGAGCUUAACUCCAUUUCGGCAGUGGAAACUGACAGACUAGAGUGUGGUAGGGGCAGAGGGAAUUCCCGGUGUAGCGGUGAAAUGCGUAGAUAUCGGGAAGAACACCAGUGGCGAAGGCGCUCUGCUGGGCCAUAACUGACGCUCAUGGACGAAAGCCAGGGGAGCGAAAGGGAUUAGAUACCCCUGUAGUCCUGGCCGUAAACGAUGAACACUAGGUGUCGGGGGAAUCGACCCCCUCGGUGUCGUAGCCAACGCGUUAAGUGUUCCGCCUGGGGAGUACGCACGCAAGUGUGAAACUCAAAGGAAUUGACGG